rnacentral:rRNA from 1 species
UAGAGGUUUUCCUGGCUCAGAACGAACGCUGGCGGCAUGCCUAACACAUGCAAGUCGAACGAGAUCUUCGGGUCUAGUGGCGCACGGGUGCGUAACGCGUGGGAAUCUGCCCUUUGGUUCGGAAUAACAGUUGGAAACGACUGCUAAUACCGGAUGAUGACGAAAGUCCAAAGAUUUAUCGCCAGAGGAUGAGCCCGCGUAGGAUUAGCUAGUUGGUGUGGUAAAGGCGCACCAAGGCGACGAUCCUUAGCUGGUCUGAGAGGAUGAUCAGCCACACUGGGACUGAGACACGGCCCAGACUCCUACGGGAGGCAGCAGUGGGGAAUAUUGGACAAUGGGCGAAAGCCUGAUCCAGCAAUGCCGCGUGAGUGAUGAAGGCCUUAGGGUUGUAAAGCUCUUUUACCCGGGAUGAUAAUGACAGUACCGGGAGAAUAAGCUCCGGCUAACUCCGUGCCAGCAGCCGCGGUAAUACGGAGGGAGCUAGCGUUGUUCGGAAUUACUGGGCGUAAAGCGCACGUAGGCGGCUUUGUAAGUUAGAGGUGAAAGCCUGGAGCUCAACUCCAGAACUGCCUUUAAGACUGCAUCGCUUGAAUCCAGGAGAGGUGAGUGGAAUUCCGAGUGUAGAGGUGAAAUUGUGAUA